AACGAACGCUGGCGGCAGGCCUAACACAUGCAAGUCGAACGCCCGUAGCAAUACGGGAGUGGCAGACGGGUGAGUAACGCGUGGGAACGUGCCCUUCGGUUCGGAAUAACUCAGGGAAACUUGAGCUAAUACCGGAUACGUCCGUAAGGAGAAAGAUUUAUCGCCGAAGGAUCGGCCCGCGUCGGAUUAGCUAGUUGGUGAGGUAACGGCCCACCAAGGCGACGAUCCGUAGCUGGUCUGAGAGGANGAUCAGCCACACUGGGACUGAGACACGGCCCAGACUCCUACGGGAGGCAGCAGUGGGGAAUAUUGGACAAUGGGCGAAAGCCUGAUCCAGCCAUGCCGCGU
rnacentral:rRNA from 1 species